CCAGACUCCUACGGGAGGCAGCAGUGGGGAAUAUUGCACAAUGGGGGGAACCCUGAUGCAGCGACGCCGCGUGGGUGAAGGAGCACCUCGGUGCGUAAAGCCCUAUCGGCAGGGAAGAAAAGCGAACAGGUUCGCCUGGACGGUACCUGACUAAGAAGCCCCGGCUAACUACGCGCCAGCAGCCGCGGUAAUACGUAGGGGGCAAGCGUUAUCCGGAUUCACUGGGUGUAAAGGGAGCGUAGACGGCGAUACAAGUCUGAAGUGAAAGCCCGGGGCUCAACCCCGGGACUGCUUUGGAAACUGUGUUGCUGGAGUGCUGGAGAGGCAAGCGGAAUUCCUAGUGUAGCGGUGAAAUGCGUAGAUAUUAGGAAGAACACCAGUGGCGAAGGCGGCUUGCUGGACAGUAACUGACGUUGAGGCUCGAAAGCGUGGGGAGCAAACAGGAUUAGAUACCCGUGUAC
rnacentral:rRNA from 1 species